UACAGGGGGUGCAAACGUUGCUCGGAAUCAUUGGGCGUAAAGCGCACGUAGGCGGUCGGGUAAGUCGGAUGUGAAAUCCCAGGGCUCAACCCUGGAACUGCAUUCGAUACUGCCUGGCUAGGGUACUGGAGAGGAGACUGGAAUUUACGGUGUAGCAGUGAAAUGCGUAGAUAUCGUAAGGAAGACCAGUGGCGAAGGCGAGUCUCUGGACAGUUACCGACGCUGAGGCACGAAGGUCAGGGGAGCAAACGGG
rnacentral:rRNA from 1 species